rnacentral:tRNA from 1 species
ACCGUUAUGGUGAAAUUGGUAACCACGCAAGCUUGAGGGGUUUGUGGACGUAUGUCCUUUCCGGUUCGAGUCCGGAUAACGGUA